rnacentral:rRNA from 1 species
CCUACGGGUGGCAGCAGUGAGGAAUAUUGGUCAAUGGGCGCGAGCCUGAACCAGCCAAGUCGCGUGAGGGAAGACGGUCCUAUGGAUUGUAAACCUCUUUUGCCGGGGAGCAAAAAGCGGUACGCGUACCGCAUCGAGAGUACCCGGAGAAAAAGCAUCGGCUAACUCCGUGCCAGCAGCCGCGGUAAUACGGAGGAUGCGAGCGUUAUCCGGAUUUAUUGGGUUUAAAGGGUGUGCAGGCGGAAGGUUAAGUCAGCGGUAAAAUUUCGGGGCUCAACCCAGACGAGCCGUUGAAACUGGUUGUCUAGAGUGGGCGAGAAGUAUGCGGAAGGCGUGGUGUAGCGGUGAAAUGCAUAGAUAUCACGCAGAACUCCGAUUGCGAAGGCAGCAUACCGGCGCCCAACUGACGCUCAGGCACGAAAGUGUGGGUAUCGAACAGGAUUAGAUACCCGUGUAGUC